AACGAACGCUGGCGGCGCGUUUUAAGCAUGCAAGUCGAGCGGCAAGGGUCUCCGGGCCCCUAGAGCGGCGGACGGGUGAGUAACACGUGGACAAUCUGCCCCCCGGCCGGGGAUAGCCCAGGGAAACCUGGAUUAAUACCGGAUGAGACGGGACCCGCGGAGGCGGGAUCCGGGAAAGGCGCUGCGGCGCCGCCGGGGGAUGAGUCUGCGUCCCAUUAGCUUGACGGCGGGGUAACGGCCCACCGUGGCGACGAUGGGUAGCCGGCCUGAGAGGGUGGACGGCCACAUUGGAACUGAGACACGGUCCAGACUCCUACGGGAGGCAGCAGCUAAGAAUCUUCCGCAAUGGGCGAAAGCCUGACGGAGCGACGCCGCGUGAACGAAGAAGGCCGUGAGGUUGUAAAGUUCUUUUCGGGAGGGGGAACAACCGUGGCAGGGAAUGGCCGCGGGAUGACGUGAAUCCCGGAAUAAGCCCCGGCUAACUACGUGCCAGCAGCCGCGGUAACACGUAGGGGGCGAGCGUUGUUCGGAAUCAUUGGGCGUAAAGGGCGUGCAGGCGGUCCUGCAAGUCCGGCGUGAAAGACCCCGGCCCAACCGGGGGGGCGCGCUGGAAACUGCAGGGCUUGAGUACAGGAGGGGAUGCCGGAAUUCCAGGUGUAGGGGUGAAAUCUGUAGAUAUCUGGAGGAACACCAAUGGCUAAGGCAGGCAUCUGGCCAUGUACUGACGCUGAGACGCGAAGGUGCGGGGAGCAAACA
rnacentral:rRNA from 1 species